rnacentral:lncRNA from 1 species
GCUCCCGGAAGCGGCACGGGAGGCGACCGUGCUCGCCGUUGGCAGGCUAGGGUUGGCGGCGGCGUAUUCUGUUUGUUUUAAACGAAGGAGCGGAGGGAGGGGCCGCGCCGCGGAGCGUGCCUAAGGUGAAAGGGCUGCCGUGCAGCCAGGCAGAGGCGAGGAAGGCUUCUCCAUCGUCGCCACCGCCCGCCUGUUUCGCCGGCAACAGGUUCCCCCGGGACGGGAGGGGCCGCAGCGCCGCGCAGCUCGCAGCGCUGAACGUCGCGGAAAUCCCUUGGCCGGCCGAGCCUCCGCAGCCGCGACCCGGCUUCUCUCCGUCCGAGUCCCCCGAGCCUCUCCGAACCCCCGUUGGACUUCCCCUCCCUGGCCGGCGCCGCCCGACCCGCUCCCCCAUCCUAGAGGGAAUUCCCUGCGCCGCGGCUGUGAGGCACCUCCACCCCGGCCUGAAAUGCACCGCAGUCCUGAAGGAAAUCCACCCUCAUCCCACGCAGAUUCACCCGCAACGCUGCCUGAAUACGCCUCGCUGCCCACAGAAAUUCCUGCCCAAACCAGACGCGUGGACCACCCAAGACGAAAUUCACACUCGACCCUAGCCCCGCCAGCCCUUGCCGAAAUCACCCUAAACCCGUUGAAAUUAAUUCCCAGCUGUCCGAAUUUUCCUUCCAACAUUAACUGACUACCUGUCUCCGCCAAGCUGACUGAACUCUACCGAACUCUUACCCUGAAAGCCCCUGAGAGUCCAAAAUAUAUUUUUCCAGCCCGAAAUCUAAAUCCCAGUUCUCUGUAUGAAAACCUCCAGAAACCCAGACUCUUACUUCCUUCGGCCACGGACUCGUUCGAACAUCGUGGACAUCACCUUCCCACAUUUUUACCGCAGUCUUUGGCUCCGAUUCUUUGUCCCUGCCUCUUGGGCAGCAUCCUAUCCCUGUUUCUUUCCACCUUUGAGGAUUCCUCUACCUCUUUAAAGGCCUGCUUUCUUUGCUUUCUCUUCUCACCUUUGGCAUUGGCACACUGGGGUCAUAUCUUUAGUUCCCUUGACUCCACCAUCUAAGCCAAGGGUGUCCAAUCUUUUGGCUUCCCUGGGCUACAUUGGAAGGAGAAAAAUUGUCUUGGACCACAUAUAAAAUAUUCUAACGCUAAUGGUAGCUGAUGAAACUUUUAAAAAAUCUCAUCAUGUUUUAAGAAGUUUACGAAUUUGUGCUGAGCCGCAUUCAAAGCCGUCCUGGGCCUAAGUCCUUGCUAUUUUUCCUCUUCAAUUUCCUUCAAUCCAUAGUUCUCUAGGUUAUUUUCCCACCCUUUCCCAAGAUUCGGAUAUCCCUUCAUUCUUGCUGAGUUCAUCUCCUAUGCCUAUUCCUACAUACUUGCUGAGUUCAUCUUCUAAUGUCCUCAUCCUGGUUUCUUCCUGAACCUGAAAUCCAGCUAACCUUACUUUUUCAUCCCAUCAAACCCCUGCUGUUGCCAGCCCAGCACUCACGAAGAUCUUUACAUACACCAAAUAUUAAAUUAGGGCCGGUACCUAGACAUUGUCUCUGCACUCUGCUGGCAUAUUUUCCCCUGGACCACGAACCCUUCGUACCUAGUAACUUGCCACCUGUGUUUAUAAAUACCAGCAAUUUGAUUUACAGGGUGAAUUUGUCACUAUUGUUUACUUUUAAAUGAAGUUACUGUAUUUGUUGUUUCCAUUAAAGGCGACAUUAUAAAGCCUAGGCCUCAUAUCCAAAGCAAAUAAAGUCUCAAUUUUUUAAUUAAAAGUAACAAAAGGAAACCUCACACUUCUGAACAACAAUGACAAGAAGGAAUGCCUAUAAUUGGUUUGGGUCACAAUGUACAUAUUGAAAUAAAAUUUUUAUUAAGUAUCAACUUCCAGGUACACAAUGAAGUUUUAAAUGUUUAUCUGUGACAUAUGAAGAACAAAGCAAUCUAAACUGAUGUAAGCAGGCUGUCAUAAGGUACAUGCUGAGGAAUUUAUUCAACAAAUUGAAUAAAUUUAUUCAAUAAAUAAAUAAUUAUUCAAUAAAUAAUAUAUUUAAUAAAUUUAAUAAAUAGAA